GGGGCAUCCAGGUUUGAACCAGGUACCUCUCGAUCUGCAGUCGAAUGCUCUAACACUGAGCUAUACACCC
rnacentral:tRNA from 1 species